GCGGAUGGCCGGAUGACCGCGGGACGCAAGACCCGAGGAAAGUCCGGACUCCAUGAAGCAAGGGUGCCGGGUAACGCCCGGCGGGGGAAACCCCAGGGAAAGCGCCACAGAGAAGAGUCUGCCCCUGUCCGCAGGGGUGAUGGUGAAACGGUGGGGUAAAAGCCCACCGCGGGACUGGCAACAGGACCGGCACGGCAAGCCCCACCCGGAGCAAUGCCGAAUAGGGGCCUCGCGCGGAAAGGUCUGCCACAUGCCUUCGGGCGGCAGAGACCUCCGCAGGGACGCUUCAGCCCAGAGGCCCGGGUUGGCAGCUUGACCGUCGCGGCAACGCGCACGGCAGAGGAAUGGUCAUCCAACCCCGGAUCACGGUCCGGGGGGGACAGAAUCCGGCUUACAGGCCAUCCGCGCAG
rnacentral:RNase_P_RNA from 2 species